CCAGCAGGUCAAUCUUAUCGCUCCGAUUUAUCGGAGAGGAAAGUCCGGACACCAAAGAGUAGCAUAGCGGAUAACAUCCGUCCGACGUAAGUUGAGGACAAGUGCAACAGAAAGCAAGUACAGUUCGGCUGUAGUGAAACCAGGUAAACUCUAUGCGGUGCAAUGCCACGUAUAUUGAAGCCUCGAUAAYUAUCGGGAGAGAACUACUCGUUCGAUUUCAAGGGGUGGGCAGAUAGAUUCUAAAAGUAAUUUUAGAACUAGAUAAAUGAUAAGACUCCGAUUAUUCGGAGACAGGAUUCGGCUUACUGACCUGCUUUUUUA
rnacentral:RNase_P_RNA from 1 species